AAUAGCAGCUAUACAUAAUUUUACCCUAACCUAUUGUUUGGAUGGUUGUUUCCCGUUUUAUUAUAUUGUAUUGUUACCCUAGAUACAAUGUUUGUUUUGAUUGUUAAUAUAAAAGUGAUUGUAUCGUAUUGUUUAAUUCAUUGUUCCGGAACAACGAAAAAUCUCAUUCUAUGAAACAACCAAAUCAGUAUGGUGGAAUUGUUCCGUAUUUUUCUUUCCAAUUACACCCACACUUAUUAUUCUAUAUUUCAAUUUUUACCCUUUGCCCUAUUAUUUAUAUUAUAUUCACCAAACUAAUAAGUACUUUAUCUCCAUCU
rnacentral:lncRNA from 1 species